rnacentral:rRNA from 1 species
UACGUAGGGUGCGAGCGUUGUCCGGAAUCACUGGGCGUAAAGGGUGCGUAGGCGGGGUUUUAAGUCAGGGGUGAAAUCCUGGAGCUCAACUCCAGAACUGCCUUUGAUACUGAAGAUCUUGAGUCCGGGAGAGGUGAGUGGAACUGCGAGUGUAGAGGUGAAAUUCGUAGAUAUUCGCAAGAACACCAGUGGCGAAGGCGGCUCACUGGCCCGGUACUGACGCUGAGGCACGAAAGCGUGGGGAGCAAACAGG